GAGGGUAUAGCUUAAGCAGGAGAGCGCGUGCUUAGCAUUCAUGAGGUCCUGGGUUCAAUCCCCAGUAUCUCCU
rnacentral:tRNA from 1 species